UACGUAGGGGGCAAGCGUUGUCCGGAUUCAUUGGGCGUAAAGAGCGUGUAGGCGGCCAGGUAGGUCGGUUGUGAAAACUGGAGGCUCAACCUUCAGAGGUCGACCGAAACCAUCUGGCUAGAGUCCGGGAGAGGAGAGUGGAAUUCCGUGGUGUAGCGGUGAAAUGCGCAGAUAUCAGGAAGAACACCAAUGGCGAAAGCAGCUCUCUGGGACGGUACUGACGCUGAGACGCGAAAGCGUGGGGAGCGAACAGG
rnacentral:rRNA from 1 species